UACGUAGGGUGCAAGCGUUAAUCGGAAUUACUGGGCGUAAAGCGUGCGCAGGCGGUUCGUUGUGUCGGUGGUGAAAUCCCCGGGCUUAACCUGGGAAUUGCCAUGGAAACUGGCGAACUGGAGUGUGGCAGAGGGGGGUGGAAUUCCGCGUGUAGCAGUGAAAUGCGUAGAGAUGCGGAGGAACACCGAUGGCGAAGGCAGCCCCCUGGGCUAGCACUGACGCUCAGGCACGAAAGCGUGGGGAGCAAACAGG
rnacentral:rRNA from 1 species